rnacentral:lncRNA from 10 species
UUUAAUAGUCCUUAGAGACAAGUAGUAGGACAAACACUGUUACUUUUAUUGAUUCAAUAUAUGGUUACACUGAUGUUUAAAGUCACGUCCACAGUUCUCAUUGAGGUUCAUUAAAUAAAUAGUUACGUGAAAGUUCCUGCUGUAUUGCUUUAAAAUAAUUGAGGACAUUAUUCAGUAGGUCACAUGUCGGGAUUUUCUUUUAGAAUUUAUUGAUAAAGAAAGAUGAUCAACUCUGAGAAAUUAGAAGACUUCUUCCUGUUUAAAAUAAAGACUGAGUCACUGACUAAAUUUUCUACUUUUUGCCUUGACUGCCAGGGUCCUCAGGGCCAAACUGGAAGUUCAACCACAUAAACUGAUUUUUCUAGUUAGCAUAUUUUUGUUCAUUUCCUUGGCUAUGAGCCUGAUAUGGUUUGGCUCUGUAUCCCCACCCAAAUCUCAUUUUUAAUUGUAAUCCAAAUUGUAAUCCCCAGGUGUUGAGGGAGCGACCUGGUGGGAGGUGAUUUGAUCAUGGGGGUGGUUCCCCCAUGCUGUUCUCAUGAUAAUAAGGGAGUUCUCUCACAAGAUCUGGUUGUUUGAUAAGUGUGAGACUCUUGCCCCUUUGUGCUCUUCUCUCCCUCCUGCCACCAUGUAGGAUGUGCCUUGUUUCCCCUUCACCUUCUGCCAUGAUUGUCAGUUUCCUGAGUCCUCCCCAGCCACGCAGAACUGUGAGUCAAUUAAUCCUCUUUUGUUCAUAAAUUACCCAGUCUCAGGUAUUCUUUAUAGCAGUGUGAAAACACACUAAUACAGAGCUACUAUUUCUGUGUCACAAUUUCAUUAUAUUUUUUGUUUAAUUAUAAGCUGUUUCAAGUAUUUGGGGGGAGUAAGAAAGAGGUUUAGAUAAAAUGACUUUUAAGAUGGGGAACACAAAACCCCAAUAAAAACUUAAAUUUACCGAGAUAUUUACUGGCAGAGCUGGAACUGGGAUUACAGUUUCCCAAAUUUUAGUUCAUGAUAUUUCCUCUCUUCUACAUGAAAUGAAUGGUGAGGUUUUCCUUCUUAAUCAUUUUAUGUCUGUUUUUAAAAAUAUGGCAGUUCCACAAACAUCGUGGCUGGAUGUUGUUUGCUGGAACCUGUGCCCCAGCUUUUGAAGGCCACCCCUCCCUGCCUUAUUUGUUGUUUUCAAAGGCAGUUUUUCUAUAAUGCAGUGCUGGGUGCCUGGGGUUUGCCAGCAAACAGAAUGAAAAGAUAAAGGUCGUAUAUUUCCUGCUACACUAAACGGUCCCUCAAAAAUGCAGACCACCACUGUUCUGUCAGCCUUUCUGCAAAGGGAUGGCAAAUAUCUACCUUGAAUAAAAGCAUGUUAAAAAAAAAUAAAACACUUUGGCAAGCAGAGAGGUGAGUCAUAUUUCAACAAAGGAUUAAUGCAAGUCCUGUUUUGUUUGUUUUGAGAACUCAGUCAUUUUUUUAAUCAGGUAGUUAUGAGAAUUUUCAAUUCUAUUUUAUAAAAAACAACCCAACUUAAUCCUGUGAUGAACUAUGACUUUUAUUGACCUUUUACAAAAAGUACAAGAAAGCUAUUGAUAAAUCUUUUCUUUCUUUUUUGUAAAAAAAAAAAAAGAAAAGAAAAGAAAAGAAAAAGAAUCCAGAUGAAACACAAAACACAAACCGCAGUGUAUGGGAUGGCGAACGUCGUUGACUUUCAAGGCGCCCUCUACUGGCAAUGGCUUUAAAUUUUUAAAUGUCUAUUAUAUUAUAGGCUUUGGAAUUUCACUCUUUAACCAAAUAAGAUUUUCAAUACAUUAGUAGAAAGAAAACUCAUGCAGGAAAGAAAGCCCCAGAUAUUUUAUCUCAGGAAUAUAAAUAAGCGAAUAUAUACAAAAGUAUCAGGCAUUAUUUUACAUAUCCUGAAAACUAUGCGUUGUUAAUAGGAAGAAGAAUGAUACAGUUGGUUGUUCAUCAAAGAUUUAUUGAGCGCUUAUAAGAGGCACCAUGUCAGGCAUUGGGGUCACAGAGGUGAGGCUGACGUGACCCCCACAUCAAGGGUCCUAGUCUUGUGAGGGAGUCAGACCUACCUGCAGACAAUUACCAUGUCAUGUGUGGAGUGCAGUGUGAGACCCGAGGAACGACCCCUAAAUCCUCCUGAGAAAGGAGUUAGGAAAGGCUCCUGGAGGAGGCUGGCAAAGAAAUACAAGAACAGUGAAAAGCACUCUAAGGAGAAGGAAGGGUGUUCGGUAAGAGAACAUGGCGCAUGUGCGGAACACGAACAGAACCGCGGUAAUAAGUUCCGGGUUGGCUAGCUGUACCACAGCACGAUGUGCAGGGACGGCCAGGAGAGGAUGCUACAGAGCAGCAGCUCUCAAACUUUUCAGUCUCAGGACUUUACAAUCUUAAACAUUAUUGAGGACCCUUCCCCCUCCCCCACGAAGAGCUUUUGUUUAUGUGGGCUUCAUUUAUUGAUGUUUACUUUUUUUUUUUUUUUUUUU